CCUACGGGUGGCAGCAGUGGGGAAUUUUGGACAAUGGGGGCAACCCUGAUCCAGCAAUGCCGCGUGAGUGAAGAAGGCCUUCGGGUUGUAAAGCUCUUUUGUCAGGGAAGAAACGGUUCAGGCUAAUAUCCUGGGCUAAUGACGGUACCUGAAGAAUAAGCACCGGCUAACUACGUGCCAGCAGCCGCGGUAAUACGUAGGGUGCAAGCGUUAAUCGGAAUUACUGGGCGUAAAGCGUGCGCAGGCGGUUUUGUAAGUCUGUUGUGAAAUCCCCG
rnacentral:rRNA from 1 species